UGUCCCUCAUUUUAUAGUUCAUUGAUUUUUAGUUCACGAAAUCUCGUGUUCAGGGAGAUUUCGCGGGACUUUCUGAAAGUUGGUUGAAUGGAAAAGGCGUUGGAUAUCGCUUGGUAUCAAAUGUACUUUUUUACAAGUUUUACUGUUCAUCUCAAGCUCUUUUUAGUCUCUGCAAUUGGUCAUCUUACAAAGCAAGUUCCAGCACAGCACAGUAGAAGUUUGUAUGAAUGGCAGAGUGUUUUGUGGUUUACAGUUCGGAGUACUUUGUGGUUUACAGUUCUUACAGAACUGAGCCAGGGUUACGAGGAUUAUGAGAGCUAUGAGGAUUAUGCUAAGGACAGCUUUGAUAGUACUAUAAGUGAUGAAUCUGAAAUGACAAUGAUUGUUGUAGAAGUAAAUAUAGUUAUAGAAGUGAAUAAAUUAAAUCCACGUCUGACAUCUCGUUUGUAUUUAAAUAAAGUAAGGAAAACCAACGAGAUUACAAAUGGAGCCCCCAGUGAGGAUCGAACUCACGACCCCUGGUUUACAAUGAGGAAUCGUGUUUAGAAGUUCAAAAUCAGGCGUGGUGACUAUUCAUAGAUACAUUUUCAGUAUAAUUUAGCUGUGCAGAAACUUUUCAGUUAAGUAAACUAGUAUUUUCAACGAAUGGUCUACAAAGAAGUAUUAUACUUUGUUAAAACGUUUAGUACCGAACGACUCGAGUGCAAGACGGCAACAGACAAACUGUAAUUUGCUGUGUGGUUUAAGUCCAAUUACGAAAUUCUAGUGUCAUGAACAAAAAAAAAAAUUUGAGGACAAAUUUUCAGUCAAGAGGCCAGAGGAGAAUAAACAGUGUUUAAUUUAGAGAGAACCUCAAACAAUUUUGUGUUUAACAGUAUUUUCAUAUAACUUAUUUUACUAGUUGUGUACAAACAUUUACAUUUAGUAUAUAGAUACACCUGGAUGUGGGUAUACAACGGGCGAUACAGAAAUCAACAGCUUACAAAACGGUGUGACAGUUACAGACGAUACAGUGCAUAAACUCUCAAGUGAAACAGUUACAGAACUUUGACAGUUACUUAUUAUAUUUAGCAGCCAGUGGUCCAUAUAUUGUGUUAUAGGUGCAAGUUCCAGCACAGCACAGUAGAAGUUUGUAUGAAUGGCAGAGUGUUUUGUGGUUUACAGUUCGGAGUACUUUGUGGUUUACAGUUCUUACAGAACUGAGCCAGGGUUACGAGGAUUAUGAGAGCUAUGAGGAUUAUGCUAAGGACAGCUUUGAUAGUACUAUAAGUGAUGAAUCUGAAAUGACAAUGAUUGUUGUAGAAGUAAAUAUAGUUAUAGAAGUGAAUAAAUUAAAUCCACGUCUGA